rnacentral:rRNA from 1 species
UACAGGGGGGGCAAGCGUUGUUCGGAAUUACUGGGCGUAAAGGGUUCGUAGGCGGCCAACUUAGUCAGACGUGAAAUCCCUCAGCUUAACUGGGGAACUGCGUCUGAUACUGGAUGGCUUGAGUGCAGGAGAGGAACGCGGAAUUCCAGGUGUAGCGGUGAAAUGCGUAGAUAUCUGGAGGAACACCGGUGGCGAAGGCGGCGUUCUGGACUGCAACUGACACCGAGGAACGAAAGCCAGGGGAGCAAACGGG